GGGAAAUACAAAAAUGAAUAAAGGCAGGGGAGGAGCAACGUGAGAGGAGGGAUUGACAGUAGUACCUGUCCUUAAAAGGUGGAACAACAACCCGAAGAGAAGUGAAAGCUUUGAGGCCUCAAACUCCUCUAAUCUCACUCACACACUCCCAUGAACAUAACGCACAGCUCAAGGAGUUUACUCGCGCCCAACGCAAUGACGUGCAGAUCAUUUCAUAGUCCUGAAGGGACUUGCAAUUGCAUCCCAUGUGACCACCCUUGCAUUCCUCAGAUUGCUGUCAUGUGACAAACCUAAAGAUCUCCUUUUAUGGAUGUCUGAUUUAACAAAAGGGCGCGGCCUCGCUCAUGGUCAACACAUUCAUAGACAACAAAGUGCAAAGUUGCAGAGACACACAGGGCAAGGUUUCGCACAUCUCUGCUAAUCCAAACAUAAAUAAACAACGACAAAGGGAUGGGAGUGAUGACAUCACAUUGUCCUCCUCUCCAGUCACAUGGCCGGUGGGAGGCAUGAGGCCUGCGAGCAAAAGGACCGGCUUGAUCUUUGCUCCGUUUAUUUCAUUGGGAUGGUGAUUAUCACAGAAAGAAUCUCAAAUUAAGCACAAGUCAAGAUUGAAAAGCACAAAACAGCAUGAAUAGGAUCACGUGCUGCAUAGUUAUAUAAACAUUAGUCACAUCUGGCCUUGUUACAAGAGGCAGCCCUGCAACUUUGAUGGUCAAAUGGACGCAGACCCCUUGUACUGUGUACUUUCUACAAUAAAAGCUUUGCAACUUGUUUUACUCUCUGA